AAAGAGUCGGGAAGAGUGUAGAGAAGCUACGCAGGUGAAAAGAGCUUAAGAAAACAUGGGAGAAAAAUAGAGUAAAGGAAAUGAAAAGAUAAGCUUUUAUAAGUAAGGUAAAAACCACAAGGAACCUUUUAGGAUCCCAGAGAAUUCAACACGUUUCUGGCACAUGUCAUUAGUGUUUAGGGUCUCGAAAAAUAUAUCAUCAUUACUUUCAUUAAAUGGAAGGAAGCAUGACCAUAUGAAUAAC
rnacentral:lncRNA from 1 species